CUAGUAUCGCGAACGUAUGCUAAUUUAACGUAUUAUUCGUGUGUUUUCUUAGUUUUAGUAAUUAAUUACAAUUUAAGAAUAAGUGAUUUAUGCACUUUCGUCUUUCGCGUCGUUUAACGAAAGUAUUUAAGAUUUGAUACACACUGGUGAGGAGUUUUUGGAAGCAAAUUGGUGGAAUGGGCCUUCGUUUCGGACUUAGACAGGAAAUCACCGCCAUGGGUAUAUUCUAUGAGAUUCUAUGUGCUGUUCGUCACGGUGGUAUACAUAUACGUCGUCAUUCAAUUCGUACCAAGGUUCGUCAAGGUUAAUCUGAUUAAUUAGGCGUUGGUCGCAAUCUGAUCGUGAUGAGUAGUCGUAGUCCAGUCGAUGAAUGUUGUUGUUUUAACGUUUUAUUGUGUUGUAUGGAAAAUGCGUGAAGAGAAAUUCAUUUUUGUGGGAUAAACAGGGAAUCAAGAUAAGCAUCCAUUUUAAAAAAAGAUUAUUACGAGUAUUUGUUUGGAGUAUGGUACCAAACGUGAACAAUGUGUGAGGCGAAAAAGUUGAAACGUCUAAGAGAUCGAUGGAAAUAUCAUGGAUAAGAAAAGGUUACAAAUCAGGUGAUUUUGGAAAAGCAAGAGAACAAUGGGAGCUAUGGAAAUCGACAAGAAAAAAAAAGAGGAGAUAAGAUGGUACGACAUCUUCUGAGACAUGAAGUUGCAGCUACAGACUUAUUAUCAGCAGAAACUGGAGUAAAGAGGGGCAGAAGAAGACCUAGAAAUAGAGGUGCAUGCAGAACUAAUGAACCUAUGAUGAGUACGAAUUUCCACCAUAUGCUGGACUUCUACCAUCUUCUACUGAAGUAGAUGACUGGACCACUUUUACGUCUUCUCAAAGUUAAUAACUUCCAUGGUGGUAACUGCAUUCAAAAAUUCGAGUACAUUGUUGAUGUUGGACUACUACCGUCUUCUAUUCAACUUCCAGGGUGGCAACUACAUUCUAAAAUACGAAUAUGUCCCUGAUGCUGGACUACUACCAUCUUCUACUGGAGUAAGAAAAAUGGACCAGUUCUUCAUAAGACCAUUUCUUCAAUUGGGCACAUAAUUUUUUAAUCAAAAGUGGAUUUAUUGAGACAAUUUUCUAUUUUAACUAAAAUUUGUAUCAGUU